GUUAUGAUGAUCAAUUAUGAAAAUGCAAAAGGAUUGAUAGAUCAGUAAACAAGCAACAAAAAGAUGGGUGCUCAUGGUGGCCUCCAAAUAAAUACAUGGACAGGCUGCUAAAGAGGGUCAGGAUGAUGGAGAUGCAAGAGCCAAAGACAGCACAGACCAAACACCAGGCCAGAAUUCUGCAUGAGUCAGCUCCAGUGAGUGUCUCUAAGGUAGAUCCUAAUGCAGAUGGAUGGAAUGUUGAUCCGCCUAACAUGCAAGAGCACUCGUUUUGAGUCCUGAGACCCUGGGGUGACCACCGUGAACAAAUACAGAAGCACUCAAUUUGAGUCCUGAGACCCUGGGGUGACCACCGUGAA